AACUUGUAUCUAACUAUUGUUGUGUCUCUCUGUGUUUCAGAUCUUCUAUGACCUGGUCAGGCAAAUCAACAGGAAAACCCCAGUACCUGGGAAGACACGGAAAAAGUCCAACUGUCAGCUCCUCUAAUACACAGCUGCUCUGUCGCACUGAGCCAGGUCUGAUUUGCUGCUGUCUCUCUCAGCAGUGCCAGCAUUCCGACGUUACUAAAACCUAACAUGGAAUGGACUUUCCUGUGUGGUGACGCCCCUUUAACAUCAACAACCAACAAACAAACCGACCAACGGAUUCAAAGCUACAAUACAUCCGUUUUUACACACAGAUUAACCAUUGUCACUCUCCAGUGUCACGAGAACAAGAUUUCUACUUAGAAAUAUAGAUAUUCCAACUGUAUCAAACUGAAAUGGAAAAAUUAAGUUCGUAAAAUGAAAUAGGUAAAUCAGUCAAUAUGAACCAAAAUAAAAUCCCGAUCCCCAAACACACAGUGUUAUUGCUAACGGAGACAGUAGCCGUAGAAACGGAUGUCUAACCAGAAUGUGCACGUUGCCACGGUGAUGCGGUAUUUAUAAGCACCUCUAUAUUAGCCAGAGAGAAAAAGACAAAGUCCCAAAGAGGCACCUAUAUAGUUCAGUUCACACAGAUAAACUUGCUCCUGGGGGUUUAUUUUCUAACUUUUUUUUUUUUUCCUUCGAUCAUUCAACAUCAUUUCUCUGUCUUUUUCUGUCUUUUUUUUAAAUUAAAUGACUAGUUUUGUCUCUACUGAGAGAUGCUAUACUGCGACAGCUAUUGAUAUGAGUUCUAUUUGAGGAGUAAACCUGUGGGUACAACAGUUAUUAUUAUUAUUAUAUGUGAGUUUUAUUUGAGGAGUAAACCUGUGGAUACAACGUGUAAAAACAACGUGUAAAAAGAGAAAAAAAAAGUAUAAUGUUUUUUCAGUAACUAUCAUAUUGUCUUUUAGCCCGAUGAUGUUGCCUUCAAAUAGGUUUUUUUCUUUCUUUCUGGAGAAUCUAACUAUGAUCCAAUCAUCCUUCUAUGUCUUGCCUGGGUUUUCUUGCUUCUGAAAUGGCACCCAAGUGUAUUAUAUUUGACCAGAGCCCAAUGGUUUCCCUAUUGGUUUCCCUGUGGGUUUCCCUAUUGGUUUCCCUGUGGGUUUCCCUAUUGGUUUCCCUGUGGGUUUCCCUAUUGGUUUCCCUAUUGGUUUCCCUAUUGGUUUCCCUAUUGGUUUCCCUAUUGGUUUCCCCCCUAUUGGUUUCCCCUAUUGGUUUCCCUAUUGGGUUUCCCUAUUGGUUUCCCUAUUGGUUUCCCUAUUGGUUUCCCUAUUGGUUUUUCUAUUGGUUUCCCUAUUGGUUUUUCUAUUGGUUUCCCUAUUGGUUUUUCUAUUGAUUUCCCUAUUGGUUUUCCCUAAUGUUUUUUCUAUUGGUUUCCCUAUUGGUUUUCCCUCUUGGUUUCCCUAUGGGCCCUGGUCAAAAGUAGUACACUAUAUAAGGAAUUAGGGUGCAAUUUUGGAGGCAGCCCUUGUGUUGUUUACAAAGAUGUUUGUACAGUGGGGUUUUUCAAUUGGGGUUGUGGUCAAAGAGGGACUGGACAUUUUAACAAGCGACCAAACUUCUGAGACACCAAUGGCCGAAGUGACUGGGCGAUCCUCAUCAUGUUUUUUUUAUUUUUUAAACUUUAUCCUUCCAAGGCCGUCUCUCAUUGGUUGGUUUGUCCAGUUAGCCAAUCCCCUCUCAUGGAAUCUGCGAUCUACAACAGGAAGUAUAGAUUUUUUUUUUUUUAAUGAGGGUUUUUAAUACAAAAAAAAUAAAUAAAAUAAUGUCAUUGGUGA